rnacentral:rRNA from 1 species
UUGGCUCAGGAUGAACGCUGGCGGCGUGCUUAACACAUGCAAGUCGAACGAGGUGCAAGGACGGAAGUUUUCGGACGGAAGAUCUUGUACUGAGUGGCGGACGGGUGAGUAACGCGUGGGAAACCUGCCCUGUUCCGGGGGAUACCAGUUGGAAACGACUGUUAAUACCGCAUAAGCGCACAGCACCGCAUGGUGCAGUGUGAAAAACUCCGGUGGAACAGGAUGGUCCCGCGUCUGAUUAGGCAGUUGGCAGGGUAACGGCCUACCAAACCGACGAUCAGUAGCCGGCCUGAGAGGGUGAACGGCCACAUUGGGACUGAGACACGGCCCAAACUCCUACGGGAGGCAGCAGUGGGGAAUA